AGGGAAGAGAUCUCUGUUUAAAAAUACUGGGAUGAGAUGAGAUAUUAGCAAUUUGUAGAUGAUUUUAGAUAACUAAAUUGGAAACCUAGUUCAGUUACUGUUCUGUAGUUACAGCACAUGUUUAGCACCCACCACAAGCAUUAAAGACCCAUAUAAACGUAUAUGUCAGAUGAAAAUGAUUGGACAACAGUUGUAUCCUGCCUUUGUUUUGUGAACCUUAAACCCAAAUCAAUUUUGUAUAUCAGCUCAAAACAGGUUCCAAAGUUGUUUUACUGAGAAUUUGCCAUGCUUUUAUAAUAUUGUAAAAAUGAAUGCCCUUAUUUGGGCUAAUGCUGACCACUGUCACCUUCUGCACAGCAAACGUUCAAAACAGCACUCCAGUCACAUUAUGAGAUGCAGCAGAGGUUUUGACCUCGAUAAACAGCACAGUAAUUCCAAGUCUGCUACGUCGCCUUGAUAAGCUACCAUUUUUUCCUUCCCUCUCCUAAACAGCUUCCCUCCUGCACCUUGGUAGAAAUGUGGUCACAUUUCCGACCGCAAAGUCCUCGGGCCCAGCCUGCGAGAGUGCAGUGUUGGAAUUCCAGAGUGGGGAGAGCUGGUCUAGGUGCUGUCCAAAGUGCUGAAUUCCUCUACAGGAGCACCUUGUACUGCUGCCCACUCUGCAAACAGCCGGGGUCUACAGGUCUCGCUGCCUCACUCACACUGCUCACUGACAAGAAAGGAGACACUCUGGGGUGCAAGAGCCAGAUGGUACCAAGACUGCACAAGAUAAGAUCAGCAGCAGCUAAACCUAAACAAGGGAAAAAUACCUGUGCUUAAGUACUGCUGUGUGAAAAUCUAAAUGAAUCCAAUUUGUUAUGUCUGUGCUUCCAUCUGACUAUGUGACCCCUCAAAUUGAAGGAUUACAUUAUUCUCUUCAUUUUCAUUAUAAUUUUAUAAUGAAAAUGAAAAAAAUAUGAAAAACGCUUUCAGAAAACCCCAGAGCCCAGUUUGUUGUCUUCAAAUUGCCUGGUUUGUCAGACCAACAGUCCAAAUCCCAAACAUAUUCAAUUUAAAAUGUUAAAAUAGAGAAAAACUGCAAAUCUUUACAUUUGAGAGGGAGAAACUGGCAAAUAAUAUUUUUCCUUGAUAAAUGACCUAAAUGAUUAAUUGGUUAUCAAACCUGUUGUUGAUUAACUUAUUAUUUCAUGUUUCAAUCAUGGUAUUGAAUAACAGUUCUUUGGAAUAUCAAUGAUGGAUUUAAGAUGAAAAGGGAGCCAAAGGACUAUGUUACACACUUAGCCAAAAGGUCGAUGAUAACCACAAUGCCGUACCAUUCCUUUCUCUUUCUAAAUAUCUCAGAGUCCUCUACUACUCUCCUAAUGGCUACAGAGGGCUGGCUUAAAAGGCCUUUCCUGGUCUGAAACAGACUGUGGGCUAUUACAAACCCAUUCUCCCUUCAACUGGCAGUAAUCUGGAAGGGGCUGAGCAGCAGAAACAAGGCUAACCGCAGAGCAGAGAAGAAUGUUUCAGAAACAGCCAAGACGCUUGUCAGAUCAGUUUGGCAACAAACUUCACUGUAUUACUUCAGAUCUAAACAGCAACUCCAGCGUUCUGGACAUUGUGACUUGAUGUCACUGCACGCUGCAGAAGAUUUGGGUGUGAAGAGCAAAGGAUAUGCCAAAUCAUCUGUGGUCAGAGAUUCCUCUGAGAAAUUUAUUUGUAAGUCUAUCUAGUAAGAAGAACUGUAAUCAAUCUUGAUGAAUUAAGGUGAGUUAUUGGUAACAAGUAACAAGUUAAAUCUUGGUUCACUGUAUAUACAUGCUCAAAUGUGACAGAUUUCCGAUAUGUUUUCAACAGAAUGGAGUUUAAACAAAUAUGCAACCCUUUCUACAAAAGAGAGCUACAACAGUUUUGAAUCUUGUGAAACACCAAAUGAAGAAAUAAACUCUAUAAACAUUCAGUACCUACCUAGAGUCAGAUAUUGCAGACAUACCUACAGUCGUGUCCACCAAAGACAGAAAUAAAAUUCUAAAAUGAGUAAAUGGAGGAAAUGUUUACAUCUGCAGCAACAAAGUACAAAUAAAACACGGCUCAGACAUGAGAGAAGAAAAUACAGUAUGGCUUGUGUCCUUUUGCCUGACUAAAUAAACUUUUAACAAUUUUAAAAGUUACUAGACAUAAAAAUCUUUGCUUAUUUUACCGUAUUUAAUGGGCCCAGACAGUGCAGUCAGAUAGAGCCAAGGCUGCUAGCGUUAGCUGGAGUCUAGCCUAGGCAUGGCUGCUCUGCAUAAAGCAGAACAGUAAAAUGCACUUAUCUGUUUGGAUUUGCCUAUUGCCUAAUUUUAUGGAGCUUUUUUCAGCAUUUAAAAAGUAAUUUGCAUUAAGUACUUUAAAUAAACUGCUUAUAUGCAGUCAUUUGCAGCUGUUUUUUUAUUUCAUUUCCUCUUUUUUCUUCAGAGAGACUUUUUGCACCUCUUAUUCUAGUCUCAGGGGCAUUUUCUGAACUCUCAGAGACGUUUUCACCCAAAGCCACUGUUAAUUUCCUAUCUUGGCACUGGGGCUGCAGAGCUAAUACCACGGCCACAGGUUUGCCCGGUGGAGACUGACUCACAACCACUUGCUUCUUUGGUUAGCAGCAGAGCUGUGCCCCACCAGCUUGUGGUAACAUUCUGCUGCCCCCACCUCACACACAUGCACGGAUGCAGGCGCACAAGCAUAAUGUACGUGCAUUCACACACAUGCAUAUGCACGCAAAUACUCAACACACUCACACUACCCUCCACCCUCACACACAUACACUGUUAAAACACAUUUGCAAGUAGAUGCACAAACAGAGCGUCACUGUAAUGUUUAAAACAGGAUAAAGGCAGUUUCCAGAGAAAGGGUGGUUCCCUGAGCCAUAGAUUCAUGCCCAUUUCUGGGCCCAUUGAGUUGUGCUGCUCAUGGGGAAAAUGAUGAUGAUGGGGCUUGUACUGGUUGUCACCCCCUGGUGGGUCUGGCACUGCCAAGGCUCUGCCUGGCCAUAAUGAAAGCCAAUUACACAAGCCAUGGAACUGUGGCGAUCAAGACCCUCUUUUUUCUUUGUGCAAUGAACCAAAGAAAACAUCGGAAAUCAGAUUUUUAGCACUUAAAAUAUGUUGCUGCUGGAUAUAAAUAUCCAUGUGUAUGGAGCAUUCAAUCUCCCUCUUGCCUAUUCAAUCCAAAUCAAAUCAUAUUAUGUGUGACGAUUAUUUAAAUUAAAAACAUAAAAACUAAAGUCCAUAUAAAUCCUGCAUUAUGCUUGAACUGUAGUAAAACUUAUUUUCAGAUUACAAUUCAAGUGAGUGAAGACCCAAAGGUUCUGAGUGCACUGACCAAAACAAAUUUACUAAUAUAACCACAACCAGGAAACUCCAUAUUUUAACACUAACAACAAUGCUCUGUUGUCUUGUGUGAAUGUUGUGUGUGCAACAACAUCAUUUUACUCCUGUGCCCACAGGAAAGGAAGGCCCUGCUUUGCUGAACAGCCGUGCGGUUGAUGAAAUGCGGAGGAGAAAAAGCACCCAUAACAGCAGCAGAAAGCCCUACAGAAGCUGGCCCCAGAGUCCUGACAGCCCUCCAGGAGGAACCACCCUGGGAUAGCCUCGCUAGCUGCCAGUGGAAAAUUGGAGUGACCAGAAAAACCUCAAUGAACUUGGAAACAUCCAGGAGAGAAGAAUGGGGGAAUAUUAAAACAGAUGUCUAAUGGAGUUUAGUGGCAAGUGUCUGCUACACUAUCCAAGAAAGUAGGGAAGAAGAAGAUCAGUAUUGCUUCACUCAGAACAGGUACAAGGGUUCAUACACAAGCAUAAAAUAUCCUGUUAUGUCCCUGUGUCAGGGACCAAAACCAGAGAUGUAGUGAAGGCUACUGACUCAGUAUGCCUUGGCCUUCACAUUAACUGACCACACCACGUUGGACACCGGCCCCUGCUGCUAUGCCCGUCGUGUCUUUUGACCAUCUGCCGAAAGUGGGACACAAAAAGAAAUCUCUGGAUGUAGUGGCUCGCCGCUAAGACGGCAAUCUGUGUUUAGAGCUGGAGGCAGGCACACCGCUAGACAAAUUUCACAUGACACAGCACAGGAGAUUUACAACCAACGACACUAUACAGGCAAUGCUGGUGUAGCAUAGGCUAGCUGAUGGAGUAACACUGCCGCUGACCUCAACAAGCCUUUUCUUUCUCCGCUUUCUUCACCGCUCACAGGCCAUGGUUAGGCUAUGUUGCUGACAAGAGAGGAAAGGGAAAAUAUAUACUGAAGGGACUUGAACACGGGGCUGUGAAGGCCACUGCUCUGUCCAAAAAACAACCCAAGGUCAAUUUUGUUGUGUGCCUAUCCCAUCAGAUGUAGCACCAUAUUACAUCGUGUACCUUACUUUCUGAAUACCAUUUGGCAUUUCUUUGUUACUAUUAUGACUAUAUAUGACUGUAUAUGUUGUGCUUCUUUAGCCUUUUUAAAUCUUGUUAGCUGGGUGUUAAUGUUUAGUUUCUGGCACUGAGAAAGCUACUGACAACCUGAGUCACAUUCCUUGUUUGUGUCAGCACACUUGGCCACAAAACUUAAUUCUGAUUCUGGCAAUUAAGGUUGCACAAGCACAUAAGAAGGUCUGCAGCCUAAGUGAGCUGCAGUGAAGCGUGCAGACAUAGAGCUGUAAGAGCACUGCAGCACAGAUACGACUUAAUUACUGCAAGGUCUGAUAUUGUAAGAGGAUAGGAGAAGAAAUUCAGCAGAUGAAAAGGGCUGGAGAGAAGUAGUUUAGGCUGGAAUACUGGUGGGGGUCUUGCCAAGAAAGAGGAAAACACACACACACACACAAACACACAUAGGCCGGCAGAGCCCAGCAGUGCAGUUGAAUGGCCUCUCUACACAAGACAAGCCUGUUGGUGGAGCAGUGAAGGGGAAAGCUUUUUAAAGGCCCCCUCAUCCCGGACAUGCACUCACACCCCGGGGACAGAGGAGGAUUGGAUUGCAUAAGAAAUUACAUCUCAACCACACAACGAUACACUGGAGUUUUAGAGUUUCAUGUCCAUUAGGACAUCCUGUCACGGACAAAUGGCACUAGAGUGAACAAAGGGAAAAGUGUCACCUGCUGGUGGCCAGGGGUCUUUACACUUGUGGUGAUGUUGACAGACAGUAUAUUACAAACAGGACAGGAAACCUUUCUUUUCAUCUAAAGGACAUGGUAGUUGAAAAUGCCCAAAACUCACCUGCCACUUUGUCUCAUUUACCAGCCAACUAAAUGGAAAGGGAGAUAACCAAAGUAGUCAAGAAUAUUCUUUCUGGAGCUGCAUGUAGAUUCACUGACUUUAAACUAAAUCUUGUUGUUUUUUUCUACUUAUUCCCCCUACUCUCUCUCUGUCUUACUGCACUUCCACGCUCCAAAUAAAGAGAAAACCCUAAAGCCAAGAAAGCCCCUACUCUACAUUUAAAAAAGCAAAAUCUACACUAUAUACACUAUGUAUAUACAGCAAGAUAAGUUCAAAAUAUGAAACAUACCACCCAAAACUUCUGCAAACGAGUGAAUCAAAUAGAAAUCUCAUUUACUUUAGGCUUUUUUAACACUGAUUGUAAGUAUAAGUUCAUGUACACUCCAUUAAAAUGGUUAUUUUUCCACACUGUACAUAUAUAAUAAAGUUAUGACACCCAAAAUACUUAAAAAACAAGCUCUAACCAAAGCCGUACCGGCACUGGAACUGUGACUCCAGGGCCCCAUGGAAGGGGAAGAAAGUUGGAGGAAAACCCCUUGCUUUGUAUACCAAUCACUGCACUCACUAAUGCGCUCUCUACUACUGUUUUCCGUUCCGCUUUAUGUACCGUUGCUAUGAACAUAUGCUCCCAGCAAAUUAUAGACAAAGUUGUGGUCCAUGAGGUUUGCAGCUUGAGGAAUUAGCACAGCCGUGUUCCUGUACAAUAAAAUAAUAUUGUUUUACCAGAACUAGGCUCCACAUUCUCGGUGUACUCACAUCAUGGAGCUGGGGAAGUGACACGCUUUGGCACAGCUCUUACUGUAGGGUCCCGAGUUUGAUUCAUAUAAUAAGGAGGGCUUUGAGAAGUAAAGCUAAAACAAUUAUGAGGGUAUUUAACGUUGCUGGUAUUAAAUGCUGAGAAUCUAAGUAAGCUGCCUCCCAGGCAUAGAAAAUUGGGCUGGCAGAAAACAUCUCAAAAGCAUCCUUUUUCUUCCUGAUCUCCCUGAGGUGGAGAUAAAGCUUUUUGACUGAAUACCGAGACUUGCUAAAACAGGCACAAAUCCUUCUUCCCACCCUUUCAUCCUAAUAAUGAGACCGAAUCAGGACCUCACCUGCUCAGAUCUGGAAAUGUACGCCUGUAUGUGCUGUACAUGGUAAUCAUCAAGUUCAUUUGAGGACAGUGUUGAGGAUUUUCCACUAUUUCAGUCCCAUUUGACUUUGUUUCAUCUUCAAUGGAAACAUAUUUACUGAGAUAUAUAUCAAUCCCACAUCAUAUCAUUGAAGAUAUCAUUAUCAUCAUCACUAUAAUCAGCGAGUCAAAUAUGCCACUGAUGACAUGUUUCCUUUCUCAUUACAAAAGAAACCUCCAGACCUAACAUUUCCAUAUUCGUUGAUAUUCAUCAGACCCUCAAAUAAAGCUCCAGGUCUCUUAACAUCCUCUCCCUCCUACUAGUGUCUUUUUCCUCAAACCCACAAACUCUCCCUCUCUUGCUCUCACCUAAGUGGGCCAGUAGCAGUGUGAUUGUUGGCACAUGUAAAUGUCCAGCGGCGGCCCUGCGUGUAGAGAAUACAGUGAUCGGCCCGGGAUUGUGUGGAACAAAGCGCACUGUGAGAUUACAGUUGAUCCUCUCGCAUCCUGUUUCCUCCUGCGUCUAGCAGCACUGGCAGACACAGACAGACGCAGAUCCCACCGAUAACACAGUGCCGCUGGGAGGGAAGGGGCGAAUGACACACACACAGGGGCCCGAGGGCCAGAGCCCAGAACGACCCCGGGCCACGUCAGCAGACAGACGGUGGGUGGGCAGGAGAGAGAGCGCGUUAGAGAGAGGUGAGGGAAAGGAGAGGGACCCCAGCUCCCGACACACCCACACAGUCUGAGACAGAGCUGAUGAAUGAACAAGUACAGGGGCCUGGCGAUGAUAGCGCUGUUUGGUCGCGUAGGACGAGAGGCCCCACCCUAGAUAUGUGGGCAGGGGAUGUGAGGCGAAGCACUGGGAGAAAAAGAGUAAUCGAUGACCUUUACCAAGCCAUGAUGACCACAGCCCACACACUGUAGAACAACAAAACAUCAGACUCCCCUAUCUGAUAAAGUUAGGGGAAAGAUCCUACUCAUUGGGACACACACACACAUAUAUACAACUGCUCUGUUUUCUCUGGACUCACAUAGAGGAGGGCAGAGAGGAUUACGGCUACCCACAUGAUGAUGGGCUGAAAAAUAGGCCUUUUAUCCACCACCGUUCCACCAUAACACAAUGCACGCAUCAUUUCCAUUAUGCUAUCCGCAUGGUAUCAAGUACUUGGCUGCCUGGGAGUGAAUCCGCAGUUUUGCUGGUAGCUCGGCACUACGAUGCAUCAGAGAUAUUUUAUCUUUUUGCGAUAGCGACGUUGAUAUAGCAUACUUUUAUGAUAAUGACAAAUGUUUUUUUAUCUAUAUGGGAUAACAGAAUUGGGUGAAUGAUUGCAUAUCUGAGUUGAUAACCACAAUUUGCCUAAAGGGUGUACAACCAACAAGACACUAAUCCCACAAAGGGAAAAACCUCGGCGGCAGUGAGAUGAUUGAUGGCCUUUUCGGAGAGUUCACCAGUGUCAAAGUAUCUAUUUGUGUGCUCUUGAAAAACCCCCAGUUUUGAAGAAUGACUUUUUGACUGUCUUUAUUAAGCUUGUCCUGGGUAUAACACUCAUAGCCAACAGACUAAGCUCAUAUGUCAAACAGGGUAAGAUUGUAGUUUUUUCCAGCAAGAAUUUAACAGUGAAGCUUCACUCCCUAAUGAUGAUAGCCUUUAAAAUAUGAGCAGCAAAUAAAUCUGUUGAGUUUAUAGAUUCAUUAUUUCUUCUCAAAAUUUUGAAUAAUCAUUGUGUUGACAAUGUAGGUGGCAACAGUUACACUGUACAACUGACAUAUUUGUUUUCAAGGAAAUAAUGUUUAUCCUGUAGUUGAUAUUUAACUUGAAUGUUUUUAAGAGUUUGUUGAAAAAGUUCAGCUGGUCGAAAUUAAUAUUUCAACUCGCAUUUCCAUUUACUUUGUCAAAAUGAGGAAACAAAGCAUGAAUGGAACCACAUGAUCAUUUGAAUAGAUUUUCUUGUCCGUUCAUUAUUAGCCUUAGGUUGGACUGUGAUGUUGUACUUGCAUUCUGCGGGGAUAUGAUUUCACCACAAAUGACCAUCAACUGAUUCCGAGAAGGGGAAGGAGCUCCGCCAAUGCAUUUAUAAUCUGCAAGUAUUUUGUUGUCCUCAAAGCAGGAGCUUGUAGUGCAGCGUAUGAGAGGAGAAAUGCUAGAUAUGUGGGAGAAAGUAAAUUGAUGGCUAUUUUAAGCCUUCAAUGACAAAAGAAAUGUGAGGAUCAUAAUCAUUAAUUACGACUGCCACUGUAAUUGUUUUUUUUAUUACACCUGAUUCUAUGCAUUAAAU